UACGAAGGGGGCUAGCGUUGCUCGGAAUCACUGGGUUUAAAGGGUGUGUAGGCGGACUUUUAAGUCAGCGGUGAAAUCUCCGGGCUCAACCCGGAAACUGCCAUUGAUACUAUUUGUCUUGAAUGUUGUUGAGGUGGGCGGAACGGGUCAUGUAGCGGUGAAAUGCAUAGAUAUGACCCGGAACACCGAUUGCGAAGGCAGCCCACUAAGCAACGAUUGACGCUGAGGCACGAAAGCGUGGGGAUCAAACAGG
rnacentral:rRNA from 1 species